ACGGGAGGCAGCAGUGAGGAAUAUUGGACAAUGGUCGGAAGACUGAUCCAGCCAUGCCGCGUGAAGGAAGAAUGUCCUAUGGAUUGUAAACUUCUUUUGUACGGGAGCAAUAAGGUGUAUGCAUACACCGAUGAGAGUACCGUACGAAUAAGCAUCGGCUAACUCCGUGCCAGCAGCCGCGGUAAUACGGAGGAUGCGAGCGUUAUCCGGAUUUAUUGGGUUUAAAGGGUGCGCAGGCGGGCUGCUAAGUCUCCGGUGAAAUGUCAGGGCUCAACCUUGGCACUGCCGGAGAUACUGGCGGCCUUGAGAGUGGCGGAGGUAUCCGGAAUGUGUGGUGUAGCGGUGAAAUGCAUAGAUAUCACACAGAACACCGAUUGCGAAGGCAGGAUACCAUACCAUAUCUGACGCUCAGGCACGAAAGCGUGGGGAUCGAACAGGAUUAGAUACCCUGGUA
rnacentral:rRNA from 1 species